GACGUAGGGCGCGAGCGUUGUCCGGAUUUAUUGGGCGUAAAGGGCUCGUAGGCGGUUCGGUAAGUCAGGUGUAAAAACUCCAGGCUCAACUUGGAGAGGCCACCUGAUACUGCCGUGACUAGAGUCCGGUAGAGGAGCAUGGAAUUCCUGGUGUAGCGGUGAAAUGCGCAGAUAUCAGGAGGGACACCGGUGGCGAAGGCGGAUCUCUGGGCCUUGCCUGACGCUGAGGCGCGAAAGCUAGGGGAGCGAACAGG
rnacentral:rRNA from 1 species